UACAGGGGGGGGCAAGCGUUGUUCGGAAUUACUGGGCGUAAAGGGCGCGUAGGCGGUCAGAUAAGUCAGCUGUGAAAACCUCGGGCUUAACCCGAGGCCUGCAGUUGAAACUGUUUGGCUGGAGUGUGGGAGAGGAGAGUGGAAUUCCCAGUGUAGAGGUGAAAUUCGUAGAUAUUGGGAAGAACACCGGUGGCGAAGGCGGCGACCUGGUCCGAUACUGACGCUGAGGCGCGAAAGCGUGGGGAGCAAACAGG
rnacentral:rRNA from 1 species